GUGCCAGCAGCCGCGGUAAUACGGAGGGUGCAAGCGUUAAUCGGAAUUACUGGGCGUAAAGCGCACGCAGGCGGUCUGUUAAGUCAGAUGUGAAAUCCCCGGGCUUAACCUGGGAACUGCAUUUGAAACUGGCAGGCUUGAGUCUCGUAGAGGGGGUAGAAUUCCAGGUGUAGCGGUGAAAUGCGUAGAGAUCUGGAGGAAUACCGGUGGCGAAGGCGGCCCCCUGGACGAAGACUGACGCUCAGGUGCGAAAGCGUGGGAGCAAACAGGAUUAGAUACCCUGGUAGUCCACGCUGUAAACGAUGUCGACUUGGAGUUGUGCCCUUGAGGCGUGGCUUCCGGAGCUAACGCGUUAAGUCGACGCCGUGGGAGUACGGCCGCAAGGUUAAACUCAAA
rnacentral:rRNA from 1 species